UACGAGGGGGGCAAGCGUUGUUCGGAAUUAUUGGGCGUAAAGGGUGCGUAGGCGGUCUGACAAGUCUGAUGUGAAAUCUAUGGGCUCAACCCAUAGUCUGCAUCGGAAACUGUCGGGCUUGAGUAUGGGAGAGGUGAGUGGAAUUUCCGGUGUAGCGGUGAAAUGCGUAGAUAUUGACCAGGAACACCAAUGGGCGUAAGGCAGCUUGCUGGGACCUUUUCUGACGGCUG
rnacentral:rRNA from 1 species